ACGCUCGACACCUACGAGGCAGCAGUGGGGAAUAUUGCACAAUGGGGGAAACCCUGAUGCAGCGACGCCGCGUGAGCGAAGAAGUAUUUCGGUAUGUAAAGCUCUAUCAGCAGGGAAGAAAAUGACGGUACCUGACUAAGAAGCCCCGGCUAACUACGUGCAAGCAGCCGCGGUAAUCUGAGCGGGCUGGCAAGGC
rnacentral:rRNA from 1 species